GAGGAUAUAGCUCAGUUGGUAGAGUGUUUGCCUUGUAUGCACAUAGCCCUGGGUUCAAUUACCAGCAAACCCC
rfam:Ictidomys tridecemlineatus contig047300, whole genome shotgun sequence.